CCCUUAGAUGUCCGGGGCCGCACGCGCGCUACACUGAAGGAAUCAGCGUGGCUUUCUCCCUGACCCGAAAGGGUUGGGAAACCCGUUGAAUCUCCUUCGUGAUAGGGAUUGGGGCUUGAAAUUGUUCCCCAUGAACGAGGAAUUCCCAGUAAGCGCGAGUCAUAAGCUCGCGUUGAUUACGUCCCUGCCCUUUGUACACACCGCCCGUCGCUACUACCGAUUAAACGGUUUAGUGAGGGCCUCGGAUUGGUCUCGGCCCGCUCUUUACCGGGCGGCGCCGUUGGUCGAGAAGACGCUCGAACUUGAUCGUUUAGAGGAAGUAAAAGUCGUAACA
rnacentral:rRNA from 1 species